CCAAGUUCAUUUUUCACUGAACAGCUGACAACCUUUGAGGUAUGGCUUGACCAUGGAUCUGAGCAUAAAAGCCACCAGAGCAAUUGCCUAUUGUGCUUCAGGUUUUGCUUAGUCAAUGCCAUCAAUUUCGUGCUCUAGAUCUUCUUGGAAGAUUCCUUGAUAUGGGACCCUGGGCUGUAGAUCUGGCCCUUUCUGUUGGAAUAUUUCCCUAUGUUCUGAAGCUGUUGCAAACAACCACUCCAGAACUGCGGCAAAUCCUCGUCUUCAUUUGGACAAAGAUUUUGGCACUUGAUAAGUCCUGUCAGGUUGAUCUGGUAAAGGAUGGUGGUCAUGUCUAUUUCAUUAGUUUUCUUAAUAGUGUGGAAGCAUA